rnacentral:rRNA from 1 species
UACGAAGGGGGCUAGCGUUGUUCGGAAUCACUGGGCGUAAAGCGCACGUAGGCGGACUGGUAAGUUAGGGGUGAAAUCCCGGGGCUCAACCCCGGAACUGCCUUUGAUACUGGUAGUCUUGAGUUCGAGAGAGGUAAGUGGAAUUCCGAGUGUAGAGGUGAAAUUCGUAGAUAUUCGGAGGAACACCAGUGGCGAAGGCGGCUUACUGGCUCGAUACUGACGCUGAGGUGCGAAAGUGUGGGGAGCAAACAGGAUUAGAUACCCGGGUAGUCC